rnacentral:misc_RNA from 1 species
AUACAUACUUUUGCAAUUCUACAAUGAGGUUGGUUUGUAUGCUAGGGAUAAUUUUAAGCUUGGUUAGGGUGGAGGCAGUGUCCUCAUUCUUAACAGAUGGCGAAAACAAAACUUCAACACCAAUGGAAAGCAAAAACAAGGAAUUGGACGAUUUGAGCAUCCUUCGACAGAUGAUUAACCAAGAAACAGUUAUUCGUCUGGCUUUGGUUAAGAAUGUCCACGCACUGGUUAAUGACGUCACCGUUUUGAAACAAAGUCUUGCGACAAGUGAAUGGAAAAUAUCAGAACUACAGCGGACGGUAGCGUCUCUUCAAAAGGAAAACAGAGAACUAAAGAAGAGUAGCAGUAGCAGUGAUUCCAGAAUUAUGGAGCUUGAAACGAAAUUACAAACAGUAAAUGAGAACGUUAGUUCAUUGAGUGACCAUUUAUACAUCAUUCAAAAAGAUUCAGAGGAAAUAAGACAGUUUUAUUUUAACAAAACGAAUGGUGUUCUUAAUGAUAUCAAAAUAGAAGUGCGGUAUUUGUCAGUUACCUUAUUAGAUUUCAAAGAAAAAACAGAGACCGAAAAUGAGUCAAGAGAUAAAAGAUAUGAAGAACUUGAACGUCAUUUCAAUUCAUCAAUUACAGAUUUAUAUGUUGAAAUUCUCAAAUUAAACAAGAUGUUACUAGCCAAACUGCACUCAUUCAUGGAUUCGAGGAUUCUCAAUCGAAAACAAAGAGGGCAUUUUCAGAAAACCUUAAUAGAACAACAUCAAAUUUUGAAACAAAGUUCCAAACCUUCAAAAAUGAGCAGCUUAAACUGUCAUCUGCUGUGGCUUCUUUAGAGUUGGCCAACAUGAACAUGUCCAAAUCAAACUGUGGUAAGAUUAAUUUUAUGACUGUAAAUUUUGUUCUGCUAUAAAUGUUUUGAAUUCUAUUGUAUGCAUUAUGAUAAUAUUUAGACUUUUGAGCACCUUGCAGUCUGAGGUCCAGAUCUUUAGAAUUGUGUUUGAAAUUAACACAUUUUAAGUAAAAUGUUCAAUACAUCACAGUAAUUACGUUAACGAAUCUCCGAAUACUUCUAAUUAUUUUCGUACUGGUGAACGUUGAAAAUAUGAAACAAUUCAAAAUGUGUAAAAACGUAUCGAUAAUAUUCACAAAGGGAAACAUUUCACGAAACAAUUUCAAACAAAACACACAAAAAAGUCAACGAUUUCAA